rnacentral:rRNA from 1 species
GAUGAACGCUGGCGGUGUGCCUAAUACAUGCAAGUCGAGCGAACAGACGAGGAGCUUACUCCUCUGACGUUAGCGGCGGACGGGUGAGUAACACGUGGAUAACCUACCUAUAAGACUGGGAUAACUUCGGGAAACCGGAGCUAAUACCGGAUAACAUGUUGAACCGCAUGGUUCAACAGUGAAAGACGGUCUUGCUGUCACUUAUAGAUGGAUCCGCGUCGCAUUAGCUAGUUGGUAAGGUAACGGCUUACCAAGGCAACGAUGCGUAGCCGACCUGAGAGGGUGAUCGGCCACACUGGAACUGAGACACGGUCCAGACUCCUACGGGAGGCAGCAGUAGGGAAUCUUCCGCAAUGGGCGAAAGCCUGACGGAGCAACGCCGCGUGAGUGAAGAAGGUCUUCGGAUCGUAAAACUCUGUUAUUAGGGAAGAACAAAUGUGUAAGUAACUAUGCACGUCUUGACGGUACCUAAUCAGAAAGCCACGGCUAACUACGUA